AGGGUUCGAUCAUGGCUCAGGACGAACGCUGGCGGUGCGCCUUAUGCAUGCAAGUUGAGCGAAGCUUUUUUGUAGUUUACUACGAAAAAUGACUGAGCGGCGAACGGGUGAGUAACGCGUGAGCAAUCUACCUUAGUUACUGGGAUAGCCCGAGGAAACUCGGAUUAAUACCGGAUAUUCUUAUUUUUUCACAUGAAGUUUUAAGGAAAGGUCAGCCGAACUAAGAUGAGCUCGCGUUCUAUCAGCUAGUUGGUGGGGUAAAAGCCUACCAAGGCUACGACGGAUAGCUGGUCUGAGAGGACGAUCAGCCACACUGGGACUGAGACACGGCCCAGACUCCUACGGGAGGCUGCAGCAGGGAAUAUUGUGCAAUGAGCGAAAGCUUGACACAGCGACACCGCGUGUGGGAUGACGGUUCUAGGAUUGUAAACCACUUUCAGGAGGGAGGAAAAUGACGGUACCUCCACAAGAAGACCCGGCCAACUAUGUGCCAGCCGCCGCGGUAAUAC
rnacentral:rRNA from 1 species